AGAAGAGCAUUUAAAUGUGUGC
rnacentral:miRNA from 1 species